AUUAAUGAAUUUUGAAAGGGGUUAGUAGCUGGCCUUUCCGUCUGGGAGGCAUUCUGUGCACGCCCUGAUCAUUGUCCAUUCACACCUGUGCACAUUCUGUAGGUUGGUGUAUGAGGCACGGUCUUCAUUGAUCGCGCUUUGGAAGCCGUCCUAUGUAUUAUUUACAAACGCUUGUUGGUUUAAAGAAUGUCUGUUUGCGUUCAACGCAUCUAUAUACAACUUUCAGCAACGGAUCUCUUGGCUCUCGCAUCGAUGAAGAACGCAGCGAAAUGCGAUAAGUAAUGUGAAUUGCAGAAUUCAGUGAAUCAUCGAAUCUUUGAACGCACCUUGCGCUCCUUGGUAUUCCGAGGAGCAUGCCUGUUUGAGUGUCGUGGAAUUCUCAACUCCAUUUGCUUUUGUGAAUGGAGAUUGGAUUUGGAGGAUUUAUUGCUGGACUUUGAUUUAGUUCAGCUCCUUUUGAAUGCAUUAGCUUGAGUCUUUUUGUGGAUCAGCUUCGGUGUGAUAAUUGUCUGCGCCGUUCUGUGAAGCGAUGUACUUGGCUUCUAAUUGUCCUUGGAUCCUUGACCUUUGACCUCAAAUCAGGUAGGA
rnacentral:rRNA from 1 species